rnacentral:rRNA from 1 species
AACGAACGCUGGCGGCAUGCCUAACACAUGCAAGUCGAACGAACCCUUCGGGGUUAGUGGCGCACGGGUGCGUAACACGUGGGAAUCUGCCCUUUGCUUCGGAAUAACAGUUAGAAAUGACUGCUAAUACCGGAUGAUGUCGUAAGACCAAAGAUUUAUCGGCAAAGGAUGAGCCCGCGUAGGAUUAGGUAGUUGGUGGGGUAAAGGCCUACCAAGCCGACGAUCCUUAGCUGGUCUGAGAGGAUGAUCAGCCACACUGGGACUGAGACACGGCCCAGACUCCUACGGGAGGCAGCAGUGGGGAAUAUUGGACAAUGGGCGAAAGCUUGAUCCAGCAAUGCCGCGUGAGUGAUGAAGGCCUUCGGGUUGUAAAGCUCUUUUACCAGGGAUGAUAAUGACAGUACCUGGAGAAUAAGCUCCGGCUAACUCCGUGCCAGCCGCCGCAGUAA